rnacentral:rRNA from 1 species
GAUGAACGCUGGCGGCGUGCCUAACACAUGCAAGUCGAGCGGCAGCGCGAGUAGUUUACUACUUGGCGGCGAGCGGCGGACGGCUGAGUAACGCGUGGGAACGUGCCCCAAAGUGAGGGAUAACUUCGAGAAAUCGGAGCUAAUACCGCAUAGUAUCGUCGGAUUAAAGAAUUUAUUCGCUUUGGGAGCGGCCCGCGUCGGAUUAGGUAGUUGGUGAGGUAAAGGCUCACCAAGCCGACGAUCCGUAGCUGGUAUGAGAGGAUGACCAGCCAGACUGGAACUGAGACACGGUCCAGACUCCUACGGGAGGCAGCAGUGAGGAAUCUUCCACAAUGGGCGAAAGCCUGAUGGAGCAACGCCGCGUGCAGGAUGAAGGCCUUCGGGUUGUAAACUGCUUUUAUAAGUGAAGAAUAUGACGGUAACUUAUGAAUAAGGAUCGGCUAACUACGUGCCAGCCGCCGCGGUAA